CGCGCCAAGGCGGCGGGCGUCUGUUACGAGCCUGAUAUUAUUGCGAUAGCAAUUAUAUGGACACUUCAACAGUAUUUCAGCCGUCGGCGUCGUCGUCGCCGUGAGGUUCCGUAUAGAUUCCAAGGGCGAUAAAAUCGUCGCUGCGCGCCGUAUGCGCGAGCGAAAGCGCGCGGGGGACGCGCGCUAUCACGGAGAGCGAACGCUCGGCGGAAAGCACACGCGACCGUUACCUGCUACAACUUGCACGCCACUUUUGUUUUGGCGCACCCGUGCAUCUUUUGUGUCCAGGGCAGAUAUAUUUUCAAUAGUGUUAUGAAGAUUUUGUGCAAUUAAAAAUUAAUCCGCAUAAUUACACGCACAAUAAACAUCAGGCCUGAAACUUUACAGACUGCUGAGCAUCUUUUGAAGUGCGAAGCAGGGCACAUUUUGGAACGGAAAUAAAGAGUUCAAUGGUGGCUAAGCAGCCAUAUUUUUCAACAGUUGUGUGCGCAUGCACCAAUCAAACUUAAGGUAAGCAUGCUAGUCUUGACUGUUUUGUUGACUGUCUCUUUUUAUUUCCUAUGUAGUAAUUUUACUCUCACGGAACCACAAGGCCUGCUGGCUUCCAUUGUUUUUGUCUAAUUAAGCAAUUUUGCUCUUUCACGGAACCACAAGGCCUGCUGGCUUCCAUUGUUUUUGUCUAGAGCAAACUUCUGUGGGCAGCCAGUGGUAUCCAAGAGGGAAGGGACCUGGAUUCCUAUGGUUACUGCAGCUACGUCUUAUUUUAUGUGGUCACCUUUUCUACUGUAUUUAAAAAUGUAAAAUCAUUCUGCAUGUCCUUUAAUUUAUUAGUCAAUAAAGCCGCUUUCUCACAAUGUCAGGUAGUAAUUUUUUCUGCAUGUUAUGCACAUUUGCUUUGUAUGUGUAUUGCACAUUUGAUAUAUGUUAAAACAUUUUAUGCAAGUUAUUAUAAAUAAUAUAAUGCAAUGCUUCAAUUUAAUUUUCAGUUCUAUAUAGUAACAUGUGCACUAUGAAGCUAGCAUACGGAUGCAUGGUAUGCUGAAGAAGUGGCCAUUCAUUUUGCUUACCACGUCACUGUAGCUAUAGGACGACAAUCUAUAAAUGCUGCUUUAAAGACAGCUAUAAAAGCCUGAAUAUUGUUUCUGAAGCCAUUAUACGUUACGACUUUGGAAAAAAUAUGUAGGCUUUUAUAGCUUAAGAAUUUUGUUAGACGUCCCCAGAAUUCUGUUAUAAUUUAUAACAGGAUUCUGGAAACGUCUAAUAAAAUUCUUAAA